AAGAACUACUACAAUGAGCAGGUUCAGAAAGGAAGCAGAGGAAGGGAAUGACAUAAGUCACCUGACCUGGGAGGUGAACACUCAACUCAGAAUGAGGGACGUUGAACAUGAGGCUUUUACUGAGUUGGCCACCGACCUUAGUCAGGCCAUUAACUCACUUGACUUUACUGCUGAUCUCUCCUACCUAAACCCUGAGGUCCGCGAUGAAGUUGUAAGAGCUCUAAAGAGCAUUUCCCAGAGCCUGGCCUUCCAGCCGUACUCCGAGCUGUGCUGUCCCUCUAAGGUGGUGGUGGACAUCGUGUCCAGGCUGCUCCAGGCCCUCUGGUCCUGCCAGAUGGAAAGCCCCUGUGACCGGUCCUCCAUGGCCCUGAGUGACAUGAGUGUCACCAUAGUGCUGGCAGUAGUGGAGAACCUCUCUAGAGUUCUGAAGGCUCCUCCUGUCGCUCAAGUCUACUACUCCCGUUCCACUGGUGUCAGGAUGGUCCACUCACUCAACCGUAAGAUCCAGUGCCUAAACAGCCCUGAGGACUUUAGGAGAGCUCUUUUCACCCAAAGUUCCACCUUGAUCAGCAC
ensembl:lncRNA